ACUUAUCUUAGACUUGAACCAUUGAAAAAUUCAUUUAAGUUCAUCUAGUGGAUGAACAAUCGUGUCUAAUAUUUUUCUGCGCAUGCGCUAGUAGAAGUUUUUCUAUCCCCUUAUCCCUUGUGUGAAAAUGAGACAAAGCUACUAUUGCAUGCGCAGAACGAAAUGACUAGAUAGGGUAACACAUAGGAAUUGUCAAAAGAAAAAUCAAAACAAACAUGGACGUACUUAGAAGAGCAGAAAUUAUGUUGGGGUUCCUUAAUAUUUUCCUGUAUAAUCAAGAAAUCUAUCAGAGGACCAUUGACCCAUUCUGUAGGUGACAAGCCACCGAGGAUGGAUAAGGCCACCUCAAAUAAGAAGAAAAAUCGUCAUCGUUGGAAUGGAAGACGGUGUCGUCGCCGUCGCGCAGCCGCGCCGCCGCGUCGGCUAUAGAUAUUCAUAUACAUAUGAGUAUAUGAACAUUUAUAUGGCCACGCAACAGU